GGGGCGACCAGUUCGUUCACGAGCUGCGACUCCUGGGGCGAGUUGGGCAGUCCGAGCGCGGUGUCGGUGCCGUCGCCGCCGUCGCCCCG
rnacentral:tRNA from 2 species